rnacentral:misc_RNA from 1 species
UGAUGGCAAAUGAGAGCCGAACCGAUAGGACAUGGGGUUCUCAUAGACAUGAUACGUUUCCUUCAUACCAGUCUCAGAAUGGUCCAAUCCGUUCAAACUCCUCACAGAGUAGUUCUGCCAAUCUGGUGGCAUGUAUCCACUACAGUCCAUGAAUCCUGGAGUUUCAACAAAUGGACCUACAUUUCCACCUGUUGUCAUGCUAUAUCCUUAUGAUCAUAGUGCUGGAUUUGGAUCUCCUGCAGAACAGCUCGAGUUUGGAUCUCUUGGGCCAGUUGGUUACUC